rnacentral:rRNA from 1 species
UACGAAGGGGGCUAGCGUUGUUCGGAAUUACUGGGCGUAAAGGGCGCGUAGGCGGUUGGAUAAGUCAGCUGUGAAAACCACGGGCUUAACUCGUGGCCUGCAGUUGAGACUGUCUGGCUUGAGUGUGGGAGAGGAGAGUGGAAUUCCUGGUGUAGCGGUGAAAUGCGUAGAUAUCAGGAGGAACACCGGUGGCGAAGGCGGCUCUCUGGACCACAACUGACGCUGAGGCGCGAAAGCUAGGGGAGCAAACAGG